ACGAGAAUUUGUUUCCAAUUUUUUGUCAAGGAAAUUUAGUGUCUUCUAACUUCGAUUUUGAAGGAUCAAAAAUCUGUUUAAAAAUUUAAUAAAAUUGUUUGUUGAGAAACUGUUACACCAGAAAGCUUUGGACCUUACAUUUGUUGCAGUUAUUGACGCUGUUCAAGCAGUUCUUUUCGUUAGUAUAUCCAAUCCGUUAUCCAAUCCGUUAUUCCAAAGGAACCUGGUUAGCAAGUAUGGACUUCAGUGACUUAGCAAUUGAUCGCUUGCCCAUUGAAAUCGUGGAGAUGGUGUUCAGCAGAGGCCAAUUCUGGUUGUUGUUGCGUAACUUGCCGCCUGACACCCCAAAGUCUGAUGUUAUUAUUAUCAUAACUGGCACAGAAGAUCCUAACGUUCGUGAGCUGUACAUAUUUUAUAAGCGAAGUAAUUUUCCAAUUAUUGUCGAAAAUGAGUUGUGCUAUCAAUGGGAGGUGGAGUCAUUUCACAGGAUCAAUGAAUAUAAGGAUUCAGCUGUGCAUGAUACAAUGGCCUGUUUGACUGAGGAAGAAAUCCACCAAAUUGCCCUGAAAUUAGCCAUAGAGCCGAAGUUAGGAGUCUGUGCUAAGGUUAUGAAAUACAUGACUCAAAAUGUGGUUAUCCCAGUGGCCGAAGCCGUGGUUAACUUGUGGUCCAUGCUAACUGGAUAAACAAUUUAUUUACUUAAUUUAUCUCAUUAUUUUCUAUUAAUUUACACACUACCCUUUUUUAAGAUACAUACUCGAACAUCGUUAUUCACAAUCAAACAAAAACACAUCUAUCA